AUGCUGUUUAUACUACGCCAUUUAGUGGAUGGCUUGGCUUGUGCCCGCACGGCCACGCGGCAAGCGGCGAAACGCCUUGGGUAGACGCACGCAGUCUUUGAUCCAAGGGUUUGGCGGUGCGCAGUAAUGCGUAAGAACCCCCAGAAAUGAAGCAUCUUAGUACGGGGUGGAAAAGAAAUCAAUUGAGAUUCGGUUAGUAACAGCGAGUGAAAGCCGAAUAGAUCAAGCUGAAUUCCAGUAUAGUAAUAUAUUGGUAGAUGUGGCGGGGAGCAUCCUUUUUAUGAGCCGAAGUCCGAUGGAAAGCGGUACCAUAGCGAGUAACAGUCUCGUAGGUGAAGUUGAAAGGAGCGAUCCAUGAAGAGUAGUGUCCUCUGGGUAGGGGGCAUGAAUAUGGGUGUAACAACAUCCAAAUCUAAAUAUGAGGUGCAAGACCGAUAGCGAAGCAGUAGCGCGAGCGAAAGUUGAAAAGCACUCGGGGACGAGUGUGAAAAGAUCCUGAAACUAGAUGGUUACAGCAGGACAGGGCAUGAAAGCGUAGGCUUAUGGAAGCGACUUUGGGAGACUGGAGGAGCGACAUAAGUUAAGCAGUGUUCUGUCUUUCUUCUCGAAGCAAGAGCCAGGGAGUUAUUUGGUGUGGCGAGAUGAGAUUCGAAGCGAAAGCAAGUACCCGCAGCGUAGCAAUACGUGAGGGGUGUCGUCGUAACUGGCGAUCAGUCACACCGUUUAGACCCGAAGCCGUUGUGAUCUACGCCUGAGCAGGGCGAAGUCAACCUGACGGUUGAUGGAGGCCCGCAACUAGUGGUGGUAUAUUCCCCUUAGGUGACUUGGGUGUAGGGGUGAUAGUCCUGUCGAACACGGCAAUAGCGAGUUCCCCCUGAAGUGUGUCUCAGCACAGCGUCUCCGGAGAAGGAUAUAGGGGUAGAGCACUGAUUAGGUGGAUUGGUUCCGAAAGGAAUCGCCAUCUUCUCAAACUCCGAAUACUAUAUCUUCGUAGAUGGAGGCAGUGGCGGUAUCCGAGUAAGUCUGGUAUCGUUUACGGGAACGACCGUACGUAAGGUUAAGGGCCCUAAAUGCUGACUAAGUGUUAAUCUGUAAAGGAAACUCCUCUCAAAAACAGUGGGGAGGUAGGCUCAGAAGCAGCCAUCCUUCAAACAACGCGUAAUAGCGGACCCACCGAGAGCGCAGUUUCUGAAAAUUCACGGGGCUAAGUCAGCUUCCGAUACCUUACCAGCGCCAAAAGCGUGUGAUUAAGGGGGCGAACGGGUUGCUUAGAAGCAUGGUCGUGAGAUCAUGUGGAGCGGCCUGUUAUGAAUAUCCUGGUGUUAGUAGCAGCAUAUCCGGAUGAGAAUUCCGGACACCUUAUAGAGCAAGGUUUCCUCAGCCACGUUCUUCAGCUGAGGGUUAGGCGAUCCUAAGGCUCGCGGUAAUUCCAAAGAGCCGAAAUUAGGGAAACCGGUUAAUAUUCCGGUCCUACAGAGGUAGGUGCAGCAAUGCAAGCCAUUCUCUGACGUUUUUGGAUAAGUGGGGCGUCUUCGGACGUCUGAAGGCAGUAGGUCUGUCGAGUCUCAUUGUGAGGAGAAGCAGAUGAAAGCCGUAGGGGUAAUCCCAUUGAAUCCAGGGACCCAUGAAAAGUGAGAGUGGAACGAUCCUUUGUAUUCGUACCUAGAACCAGUACAGGAAACUUUUUAGAAAAAAGUUUCAUCAAAAAAGUUUCCACUGAGAGGUGCUCUAGCUUAGAAGGCUAAGGUGUGACAGGAUAACCCAGGUAAGGGAACUCGGCAAGAUAGCCCUGUAAGUUUGCAAGAAGGGGCGCCAUAGCAUGAGUAAUGUUGUGGUCUCAGUAACAAGGGGAGUGCGACUGUUUACCAAAAACACAGGUCAUCGCAGAUCCGAAAGGAUGAGUAUGAUGGCUGACGUCUGCUCACUGCCAGUACCUGAAAGCGGAUUUCAAUCUGAAGAAGGGCUGGUAAAGAGCGGGGGUAACUCUGACCCUCUUAAGGUAGCGUAAUACCUCGCCGCUUAAUUGGCGGCUUGCAUGAAUGACGUAACGUCACUCCCACUGUCCCUAUCUGGGACCUGGUGAACUCACUGCCCGGUGAAGAUGCCGGGGACUCCUAAAGGGAAACGAAGACUCCAUGGAGCUUUACUAUAGCCUGAUGUUGUGAUAUGAGAUUUAUUACCAAGAGUAAGUGGGAGCUUUCGAAGCGUAUCUUCCGGGAUACGUGGAGGCGACAAUGUUACACCACUUAAUAGAUUUUAUAUUGCUUACCCGCAAGGGGACAUCGUCAGGUAGAUAGUUUGGCUGGGGCGGUACGCCCUCGAUAAGGAAACAAGGGCGCCCAAUGCUCUGCUCAUUCCGGUCAGAAAUCGGAAAUAGAGGGUUAAAGACAAAUGCAGGGCUGACUGUGUUUCGAAAAGCGUGAAACGCAGAGACGAAAGUCGGGCUUAACGAACCUUGAAAUCCCGUUGUUGAGGAUUCAAGCUGUCAGACAAGCUACCCUGGAGGUAACAGGCUCGUCGCGGGCGAGAGUACACUGCGGCGAUAGUCUGAGUUUCUUUUAACUAUAAGACUACGUCGCGUACGUAUCGACCCCGCGGUUUGGUACAUCGCUGUCGGCUUGGGGUAUCCUGGUCGUGUAGGAGCGACCAAGGGUUGGGUUGUUCAUCCAUUAAAACCCCACAUGAGCUGGGUUCAGUACGUCGCGAGACAGUACGGUAGUAUCUUUUAGGAGUGUUGUUUCUUGAGAGUAAGGCCCCUUGAGUACGAGAGGAACGGGGGGCCGGCGCCACUGGUCUACCGGUUGUGAUUUGCAUUGCCGGGCAGCUACGCGCUGCGUUGAUAAGACCUGAAAGCAUCUAAGGUCGAAGCAACCCUUAAAACGAGGAAACAAAUGCCGCGGAUAACAGAUCCGUUUGAUAGAACGGUAGUGUAAGACGUUAGGUUCGCCGAGCGUUUCAGCUAGCCGUUACUAAUGGCCUAAUUCAUAUGACAA
rnacentral:rRNA from 1 species